rnacentral:rRNA from 1 species
UACGUAGGGUGCGAGCGUUGUCCGGAAUUACUGGGCGUAAAGAGCUCGUAGGUGGUUUGUCGCGUUGUCCGUGAAAACUCACAACUCAAUUGUGGGCGUGCGGGCGAUACGGGCAGACUGGAGUACUGCAGGGGAGACUGGAAUUCCUGGUGUAGCGGUGGAAUGCGCAGAUAUCAGGAGGAGCACCGGUGGCGAAGGCGGUUCUCUGGGCAUUACCUGACGCUGAGGAGCGAAAGUGUGGGGAGCGAACAGG